CAGGAUUAGAGUAAGUGGAGUCCUGGAACACAGGAGCCAGAGUCUGGGAAUGGAGCACAGUGUGGUGAAGGGAAUCAGGCAGGCUUCCCCUGGAAUCCUUGUUCAGCCCCUCACACACACCCGCUGUGUGGUCUGGGCAGGCCAUUGACCUCUCUUAGCUCCACUUCCUCACUUGUCAAAUGAGGAUCAUCAAGUCUGACCACGAUUGGAGAGGAUGUGUGUAAGAUGUGGUGUUCAGUCGGCGGCAGUGGCUAGCUGACUAUUACCACUGUUGUUAUGAGUUCUAAGUGCAGGAGGAGUGGGAAAGAAUGGGUAUUUCCUGCCCCUGACUCUCAGGCCCUGGAAGGCUGAGAGGUUCAGUGAGAGAACGUGGCAUUGGCAUCUGAUAGGCCAGGUUGGACCUCGUCUCCACUGUGUGAGCCCAGCAGUGACUCAUCCUCACCAGGCCGCCACUUCCACACUGAUACACAAGAUGCAUUAUAGGUCUGCUCAGAGACUGAGUGAGAUUUAACACGGCGUGGGUCUAGCACAGUGUCUGUUGUGUCUGCCCUGCUUCCCUUUUGCCUCUGUCUGAACCCAGUGAGGCCAGCUCCCUGGCUCCAUCCUCUGCCCUCCUCAAGCGGUCCCAACCAUCCUUGUCUUGCCUGAUUUUUGCCACACUUCCUUGCUCCUCUUCUCCAAAACCAUAUUCACCUGUCACUUCCCUUGCUCAAGAGCCUACCAUAGCUCCCUAUUACUGAUCACAUCUAAAUCAGCCUUCUCAGCCUGGCAUUUGAGGCCCUUUCACCUCACCUUCCAGCCCCAUUUUCUCUCCCUUGUCUCACCAGACGCCCCUUGCCCUAAGCUGACUUGGCCCUGGCUGACCUCCUGCUCCCCAAACUUUCCCCACAGCACUCAUCUCUUGUGGCCUCCCUCCACCCUCCUCCCUUGUCUUCCAAGCUGGACCCAGCUCAUCCAUCUCCAAGCUCCAACAAACAAGUUACAGACAAACCAAAUCUCAAGCAGCAGCCAAGAGGAAGCCUGUCCAUAAUGGGCCAUAAUACAGUUACCGGCGGGUCGGCUUUGGGAAGAAUCAGAUCCUCAGAAAGAGAUGGCCCCUCUUCAAACUCCAGACACAACAUGUCUGGAUGUGACGUCUGGAACUUCAGCAGCCAUCUUGCAACCAUGAGGGGAGCUAUAGCACUGGAGGAGCAAGCCAACACCUGAGGAGAGCAAAGCA
rnacentral:lncRNA from 1 species